AGGAAACAGGAAGUUGAGGGUUCCUUCUUUAAUCUUCAAGUCUGCACACAGCAGGCAGCAACAGAAAUUUUUCACUCCUUCUUCAAUCUGGUGAAUAAAUGAAAAGAGGAGUUUGUCUGACUGUCAACCUACGUGCACCAAACACGUGGAGGACUGUACACAUACCUGUGGAGGAUGUAGAAGACCAUCUCUUUACUUCCUGCACUGGCAGCGUGAUGACGUCACCUGCAGCCGGACGAGUCGAGUGACGUGAGGUCGGCUCCCUCCAGGUGCGGCUCCUGCAGCUGAUGAUUCAAUUCAAAGACACGUGGGCAGCCUGACCAAAGCAAGAUGAAGAGCUGUUAACAUUUAUGCUACACC